AGAUAAUAGAUACCCGGGUAGUCCACGCCGUAAACGAUGAGUGCUAAGUGUUAGAGGGUUUCCGCCCUUUAGUGCUGCAGCUAAACGCAUUAAGCACUCCGCCUGGGGAGUACGGCCGCAAGGCUGAAACUCAAAGGAAUUGACGGGGGCCCGCACAAGCGGUGGAGCAUGUGGUUUAAUUCGAAGCAACGCGAAGAACCUUACCAGGUCUUGACAUCCUCUGACACUCCUAGAGAUAGGACUUUCCCCUUCGGGGGACAGAGUGACAGGUGGUGCAUGGUUGUCGUCAGCUCGUGUCGUGAGAUGUUGGGUUAAGUCCCGCAACGAGCGCAACCCUUGAUCUUAGUUGCCAGCAUUCAGUUGGGCACUCUAAGGUGACUGCCGGUGACAAACCGGAGGAAGGUGGGGAUGACGUCAAAUCAUCAUGCCCCUUAUGACCUGGGCUACACACGUGCUACAAUGGAUGGUACAAAGGGCAGCAAAGCCGCGAGGCCUAGCCAAUCCCAUAAAACCAUUCUCAGUUCGGAUUGUA
rnacentral:rRNA from 1 species